GGGGGGGGCGUGCUUAUACUGCAGUCGAACGGGAUGCUUAUUGCAUCUAGUGGCGAACGGGUGAGUAACACGUAUCUAAUCUACCCAUUAGCGGGGGAUAACAGUUGGAAACGACUGCUAAUACCGCAUAAGAUAUUUUUUGGCAUCAAAUAAUAUUAAAAGAUCCUAAUGGAAUACUAAUGGAUGAGGGUGCGGCGUAUUAGUUAGUUGGUAAGGUAAAAGCUUACCAAGACGAUGAUACGUAGCUGAACUGAGAGGUUGAUCGGCCACAUCGGGACUGAGACACGGCCCGAACUCCUACGGGAGGCAGCAGUAGGGAAUUUUUCACAAUGGGCGAAAGCCUGAUGGAGCAAUGCCGCGUGACUGAAGAAGGUUUUAGGAUUGUAAAGGUCUGUUGUAAAGGAAGAAAAGUAAUUAUAGGAAAUGAUAGUUAUUUGACGGUACUUUACCAGAAAGCCACGGCUAACUAUGUGCCAGCAGCCGCGGUAAUACAUAGGUGGCAAGCGUUAUCCGGAUUUAUUGGGCGUAAAGAGUGCGCAGACGGGUUAAUAAGUUUGAGGUAAAAUUCUGGAGCUUAACUUCAGGUAGCCUUGAAAACUGUUAAUCUAGAGUAUAGGAGAAGUUAACGGAAUUCCAUGUGUAGCGGUGAAAUGCGUAGAUAUAUGGAGGAACACCAGUGGCGAAGGCGGUUAACUAGACUAUUACUGACGUUUAGGCACGAAAGCGUAGGGAGCAAAUAGGAUUAGAUACCCUAGUAGUCUACGCUGUAAACGAUGAGUACUAAGUGUCGGACUAAGUUCGGUGCUGUAGCUAACGCAUUAAGUACUCCGCCUGAGUAGUAUGCUCGCAAGAGUGAAACUCAAAGGAAUUGACGGGGACCCGCACAAGCGGUGGAACAUGUGGUUUAAUUCGAAGCAACGCGAAAAACCUUACCAAGGCUUGACUUCCAAUGCAAAGCUAUAGAAAUUUAGUGGA
rnacentral:rRNA from 1 species